GAUGAACGCUGGCGGCGUGCCUAAUACAUGCAAGUCGAGCGAACAGACGAGGGGCUUGCUCCUCUGACGUUAGCGGCGGACGGGUGAGUAACACGUGGAUAACCUACCUAUAAGACUGGGAUAACUUCGGGAAACCGGAGCUAAUACCGGAUAAUAUAUUGAACCGCAUGGUUCAAUAGUGAAAGACGGUUUUGCUGUCACUUAUAGAUGGAUCCGCGCCGCAUUAGCUAGUUGGUAAGGUAACGGCCUACCAAGGCAACGAUGCGUAGCCGACCUGAGAGGGUGAUCGGCCGCACUGGAACUGAGACACGGUCCAGACUCCUACGGGAGGCAGCAGUAGGGAAUCUUCCGCAAUGGGCGAAAGCCUGACGGAGCAACGCCGCGUGAGUGAUGAAGGUCUUCGGAUCGUAAAACUCUGUUAUUAGGGAAGAACAAAUGUGUAAGUAACUAUGCACGUCUUGACGGUACCUAAUCAGAGAGCCACGGCUAACUACGUG
rnacentral:rRNA from 1 species